rnacentral:lncRNA from 1 species
GGAUCCUUCACGAGCCCUCAUUCUGGGCACUCAGUGGGUUCUUUCAAUGCUGGAAUCAUUGAAGACAAAGCCAGACAGGAUUUCAGGCUUCUCAAAGGACACCUGGCUCAACUGAACGACUAGCUUAUCACUCUGUAGGUCAUCCCGACCCUUAGAAACAGAAUUGAAGAGAGGAGGGAGCACCACGCAAUUGUCACACCAUUACUCCUAGCCCUAGAA